GGCCGGUUAGCUCAGUCAGCUGAGCGUGGCGCUAAUAAUGCUGAGGUUGCGGGUUCAAUUCCCGUUCAGUCCC
rnacentral:tRNA from 1 species